UUUCUGUGCAUAUGCACAUGGUUGUAAAGAGCUUGGCAAUUGAAAGAAAAACCCUUUGUCAUGUUCAUGCUGGACUUUUCCUACUUCCUAAGUGCUGGUCGCAGUGGUCUGUGCUGUCAGCCUUCAUACUGGCAUCAGGUCAUGCAAGACUUCUCCCUGCAGAAAACUGGAAGUUCACAAGAAAAGGUGCUUUCAACUCCUGACAAGAUGAACUAGCUUGUCUGCUGCCUUUGCUCCUCACACACAAAACCAAAAAGAGAAAAGAGAAUGGCACUGAUGGAUCCAUGGCUCGAGACAAGUUGCCAGCAAUCCCUUGCAAGAAAACACAUGUGAAUUCCAUUUAAUGAUAACUCUGGAAAAAGAGGUCAGAGGAGAAUUAGAAGCCACGAACCAGCUCCCGUGAAGUGAGCAACCUUGCCUUGCCCACCUCUUCUGCCCUGAUGUUUCGAUCUCACUCAAGGCUUAAGAAUAAUGGGGCCACCUGACCAAAGAUGGAAACCUCUGAAACCACAAGAAAAUGCACACCCAUAAACAGAUGCACAAUGAUAAAGCUGUCUCGGAAAGAUGAAAAGGAAUGUUGGCAAAGCAUGGUGCUGUGUCUGCCAUCGUUCUGCCACUUACAUGCUGCCUCC